UACCAGAACUGUCUUCCCAGGGUGAGUGU
rnacentral:piRNA from 1 species